GUCCAGGGUAGCCUAGUGGACAUGCCAUCUGCCCGGUAAGCGGAACACUGUGGGUUCGAUUCCAUCCCUGGACA
rnacentral:tRNA from 1 species